rnacentral:rRNA from 1 species
UACGGGGGGGCAAGCGUUGUUCGGAAUUACUGGCGUAAAGGGCUCGUAGGCGGCCGGCUAAGUCCGAUGUGAAAUCCCCGGGCUUAACCUGGGAACUGCAUUGGUGACUGGCAGGCUUUGAGUGUGGCAGAGGGAGGUAGAAUUCCACGUGUAGCAGUGAAAUGCGUAGAGAUGUGGAGGAAUACCGAUGGCGAAGGCAGCCUCCUGGGCCAACACUGACGCUCAUGCACGAAAGCGUGGGAGCAAACAGG